GCAUUGGUGAUUCAAUGGUAGAAUUCUCGCCUCCCAUGUGGGAGACCCAGGUUCGAUUCCUGGCCAAUGCA
rnacentral:tRNA from 2 species